GUUCCCCAGGUUUGGGCAUUCUAGGUUCACUAGUUUGCUGUCAGUAUUUCAGUUUUUAUUUUAAGGUUUCACUUCAUUUUGAACUAUAUGGGUAAAUGGAAAUGGAGCUGGAAAUCAAACAGGGUUUUUGCUAGCUGCUUGAAACUUCACAUACUCAAUCAGUUCUCUGUGCGGACACUCUGGUUUUAUCAUUGUGAAAGUAUCCCAAAGAUGAGGCAUGCAAAAACAACACUAUGCAAGGACAUUUUAGGAGACAACAGGGAAAAUAUGCAUGUACUGAACUACCUCCCCCAAUCAUUUGGUCAGAUUUCUUUCAUACUGGGCAGAGUUCAUCUGUUAGCUUUCCCCAAUAGGC
rnacentral:lncRNA from 1 species